UGGGGAAUAUUGCACAAUGGGCGCAAGCCUGAUGCAGCAACGCCGCGUGAGGGAUGACGGCCUUCGGGUUGUAAACCUCUUUUAGUAGGGAAGAAGCGAAAGUGACGGUACCUGCAGAAAAAAGCACCGGCUAACUACGUGCCAGCAGCCGCGGUAAUACGUAGGGUGCGAGCGUUGUCCGGAAUUAUUGGGCGUAAAGAGCUCGUAGGCGGUCUGUCGCGUCUGCUGUGAAAACCCGAGGCUCAACCUCGGGCCUGCAGUGGGUACGGGCAGACUAGAGUGCGGUAGGGGAGAAUGGAAUUCCUGGUGUAGCGGUGGAAUGCGCAGAUAUCAGGAGGAACACCGAUGGCGAAGGCAGUUCUCUGGGCCGUAACUGACGCUGAGGAGCGAAAGCGUGGGGAGCGAACAGGAUUAGAUACCCUGGUAGUCCACGCCGUAAAACGUUGGGCGCUAGAUGUGGGGACCAUUCCACGGUUUCCGUGUCGCAGCUAACGCAUUAAGCGCCCCGCCU
rnacentral:rRNA from 1 species